CCUACGGGGUGCAGCAGUGAUGAAUAUUUGUCAAUGGACGCGCGUCUUAACCAGCCCAGUAGCGUGAAGGCUGACUGCCCUAUGGGUUGUCAACUUCUUUUAUAUGGGAAUAACAUGUUCCACGUGUGGUCUUUUGUAUGUACCAUAUGCAUAAGGAUCGUCUAACUCCGUGCCAGCAGCCGCGGUAAUCCGGGGGAUCCGAUCGUUACCCGGUUUUAUGGGGUUUAAGGGAGCGUAGGUGGAGUGUUAAGUCAGGUGUGAAAGUUUGCGGCUCAACCGUAAAAUUGCAGUUGAAACGGGCAGUCUUGAGUACAGUAGAGGUAGGCGGAAGUCGUGGUGGAGCGGUGAAAUGCUUAGAUAUCACGAAGAACUCCGAUUGCGAAGGCAGCUCACUGGACUGCAACUGACACUGAGGCUCGAAAGUGUGGGUAUCAAACAGGAUUAGAGACCCGGGUAGUC
rnacentral:rRNA from 1 species